AGAUUUUUGAGAGAAUGGCAGAGCAGAAAUGAUUUUAAUCAGAGCAGAGAGCUGUCCCAAUGCUACACGGAACUCAAGAACUCAAGGACUCAUGAACAUCAAUUCAGAGAAAUAUUGCCAACACUACCACACCCCCUCUGCCCCAAUGAAUUGGAGCUGAAGACAUUGACAACCAUGAAUACAAACAGGUGUAGACCAAAGAAGCCCAAACAAAAGCCUGCUCUCUCCAGCCAAAGUACCAGGAAAGGGAUAGGCCAGCAAGAUAUAACUUUUAGAAAAUAACCACUUUCAUCAAGCCAAACACCACAGAAAGAACCGUAGUCUACACUUACAGCAUUGUAUGGCUAUAACAAGGUUCUCCUUUCACCAGGGUGAUAUCACAAGAGGCUGAAUAUGGAGCUAUGUCUUUCAUUCCUGCUAGAUGGUAACAAACAUACUCCCCUUGCAGUGUUGGUAGGGACCAUGUGGAAGCCUGGAUCCCCAUCCCCACCUAGCAGUAAUGAGGUACCUCUCCUUCUCAUAUUCCCUAUUGGGAUGAUGUCAGAAGAGGCCUAGUGAAGAGUCAGGACUUUCACCAUCACCCACUGGUAACAAGACAAUCAUCCCAGGUGUCCGUGAAGGCUAUAUGGAGAGUUUUAACUCCCAUAGCAUGACAAUAGAGGCUGAGUGGGAAACCUGGACUUCUGUACUCACCUGGCAGAAACAAAGUAAUGCUCCUAAUUUCCCUGCCAGAGCAGUGUCAGAAGAAACCAGCUAAAGGUUUAAAUAAGAGCCAGAGUAUCAUAACAUAAGUGCCCAGGUCUCAAUAAUAAAAACAUAGCUCAUCAUACAAAGAACCAGGAAAAUCUCUAUUUGAAUGACAUAAAACAAUAGAUGCCAACACUGACAUACAAGAGAUGCUAGAAUAUGACAAAGACUAAAAGCAGCCAUAUAAAAUGCUUCAGUGAGCAAUUACAAACAUGAUUGAAACAAAUGAAAAGGCAGCAAGUCUCAGCAAAGA